rnacentral:piRNA from 2 species
GAAUUCAGAGAGGUGACAGAACUUAU